GACCUUUAUCGUCUCGCGAUGCUACCAAAUGAUUAAAUGAUCAUGGCUCAGAUUGGCCGCUGGCNUAAAGGCCUAACACAUGCAAGUCGAGCGGAUGAUGGGAGCUUGCUCCCGGAUUCAGCGGCGGACGGGUGAGUAAUGCCUAGGAAUCUGCCUGGUAGUGGGGGACAACGUUUCGAAAGGAACGCUAAUACCGCAUACGUCCUACGGGAGAAAGCAGUGGGACCUUCGGGCCUUGCGCUAUCAGAUGAGCCUAGGUCGGAUUAGCUAGUUGGUGGGGUAAAGGCCUACCAAGGCGACGAUCCGUAACUGGUCUGAGAGGAUGAUCAGUCACACUGGAACUGAGACACGGUCCAGACUCCUACGGGAGGCAGCAGUGGGGAAUAUUGGACAAUGGGCGAAAGCCUGAUCCAGCCAUGCCGCGUGUGUGAAGAAGGUCUUCGGAUUGUAAAGCACUUUAAGUUGGGAGGAAGGGCAGUAAGUUAAUACCUUGCUGUUUUGACGUUACCAACAGAAUAAGCACCGGCUAACUUCGUGCCAGCAGCCGCGGUAAUACGAAGGGUGCAAGCGUUAAUCGGAAUUACUUGGGCGUAAAGCGCGCGUAGGUGGUNNAGGUAAAGAUGGAUGUGCAAAUCCCCCGGGCUCAACCUGGGAAACUGCAUUCAUUAACUGCUUGAACUAGAGUACNGACACGGGUGGGUGGAAUUUCCUGUGUUAACGGGNAAAUGCGUUA
rnacentral:rRNA from 1 species